UACGUAGGGUGCAAGCGUUGUCCGGAAUUAUUGGGCGUAAAGAGCUCGUAGGCGGUCUGUCACGUCGGCUGUGAAAACUCGGGGCUCAACCCCGAGCCUGCAGUCGAUACGGGCAGACUAGAGUCCGGCAGGGGGAGACUGGAAUUCCUGGUGUAGCGGUGAAAUGCGCAGAUAUCAGGAGGAACACCGGUGGCGAAGGCGGGUCUCUGGGCCGGAACUGACGCUGAGGAGCGAAAGCGUGGGGAGCGAACAGG
rnacentral:rRNA from 1 species